CCUACGGGAGGCAGCAGUGGGGAAUAUUGCACAAUGGGGGAAACCCUGAUGCAGCGACGCCGCGUGAAGGAUGAAGGAUCUCGGUAUGUUAACUUCUAUCAGCAGGGAAGAAAAUGACGGUACCUGACUAAGAAGCACAGGCUAAUUACGUGCCAGCAACCGCGGCAAUACGCAGGGGGCAAGCGUUAUCCGGAUUUUCCGGGUGUAAAGGGAGGGUAGGCGGCAUGGCAAGUCUGGUGUGAAAGGAAUGGGUUCAACCCCUGGACUGCAUUGAAAACUGUCAAGCUAGAGUGCAGAAGAGGUAGGUGGAAUACCUAGAGUAGCGGUGAAAUGCGUAGAUAUAAGGUAGAACACCAGUGGCGAAGGCGACUUACUAGACUGUGACUGACGUUGAGGCUCGAGAGCAUGGGGAGCGAACAGGAUUAGAUACCCGGGUAGUC
rnacentral:rRNA from 1 species